GAUGAAGAACGCAGCGAAAUGCGAUAAGUAGUGUGAAUUGCAGAAUUCAGUGAAUCAUCGAAUCUUUGAACGCACAUUGCGCCCCUUGGUAUUCCAUGGGGCAUGCCUGUUCGAGCGUCAUUUGUACACUCAAGCUUUGCUUGGUGUUGGGUGUUUGUCUCGCCUCUGCGUGUAGACUCGCCUCAAAACAAUUGGCAGCCGGCGUAUUGAUUUCGGAGCGCAGUACAUCUCGCGCUUUGCACUCAUAACGACGACGUCCAAAAGUACAUUUUUACACUCUUGACCUCGGAUCAGGUAGGGAUACCCGCUGAACUUAAGCAUAUCAAUAAGCGGAGGA
rnacentral:misc_RNA from 1 species